rnacentral:rRNA from 1 species
CCUACGGGUGGCAGCAGUGAGGAAUAUUGGUCAAUGGGCGGAAGCCUGAACCAGCCAAGUAGCGUGCAGGAUGACGGCCCUACGGGUUGUAAACUGCUUUUAUACGGGAAUAACGCGCCUUACGUGUAGGGCGUUGCAUGUACCGGAUGAAUAAGGACCGGCUAAUUCCGUGCCAGCAGCCGCGGUAAUACGGAAGGUCCGGGCGUUAUCCGGAUUUAUUGGGUUUAAAGGGAGCGUAGGCCGCAUGUCAAGCGUGCUGUGAAAUGUCCGGGCUCAACCCGGGCCUUGCAGCGCGAACUGGCGUGCUUGAGUCCGCGGAAAGCAGGCGGAAUUCGUGGUGUAGCGGUGAAAUGCUUAGAUAUGACGAAGAACCCCGAUUGCGAAGGCAGCUUGCUGCAGCGGAACUGACGCUGAUGCUCGAAAGCGCGGGUAUCGAACAGGAUUAGAUACCCGGGUAGUC